rnacentral:rRNA from 1 species
GACGAACGCUGGUGGCGUGCUUAACACAUGCAAGUCGAACGCUGAAGCUCAGCUUUUGUUGGGUGGAUGAGUGGCGAACGGGUGAGUAACACGUGAGUAACCUGCCCCCUUCUUUGGGAUAACGCCCGGAAACGGGUGCUAAUACUGGAUAUUCACUGGUCUUCGCAUGGGGGUUGGUGGAAAGGGUUUUUCUGGUGGGGGAUGGGCUCGCGGCCUAUCAGCUUGUUGGUGGGGUGAUGGCCUACCAAGGCUUUGACGGGUAGCCGGCCUGAGAGGGUGACCGGUCACAUUGGGACUGAGAUACGGCCCAGACUCCUACGGGAGGCAGCAGUGGGGAAUAUUGCACAAUGGGCGCAAGCCUGAUGCAGCGACGCCGCGUGAGGGAUGGAGGCCUUCGGGUUGUGAACCUCUUUCGCUCAUGGUCAAGCCGCAACAAUGGUUGUGGUGAGGGUAGUGGGUAAAGAAGCGCCGGCUAACUACGUG